rnacentral:rRNA from 1 species
CCCUUAGACGUUCUGGGCCGCACGCGCGCUACACUGACCAGUGCAACAAACAUCCGUCCUUGGCCGACAGGCCCGGGCAAUCUUUGAACGCUGGUCGUGAUGGGGAUAGACUUUUGCAAUUUUUGGUCUUCAACGAGGAAUUCCUAGUAAACGCAAGUCAUCAACUUGCAUUGAUUACGUCCCUGCCCUUUGUACACACCGCCCGUCGCACCUACCGAUUGAAUGGUCCGGUGAAGCCUCCGGAUUGGCGCGCACCUCGGUGCCGCCGAGAAGUUGGCUAAACCUUACCAUUUAGAGGAAGGUGAAGUCGUANCA